rnacentral:snRNA from 1 species
UGGCCUAUCGAUCCUUUAGACCUU